rnacentral:lncRNA from 1 species
CCGGUAAAUAAUUUUUGUGGCAUAAAAGCUAAAUAAAUUCAUACAUACUGUAAUACAGAUAACCAAAGUAUAAAAUUUAAUUUACAGUGACACGUGGCCCCACGAAUGACCAAAAGUAUCAAAAGAGUUAAACCUACAGUUUUUGAGGAUGCAAGUCCAAUUGUAGCCCUCAAUGAAAUGAGCUAUCUACCGACUAUCCUAAGCCUGAAAAGGGUGGAAAGGAGGGUGGUAAGAUUACAUAAUCCUAGUGAGUAAACAAAUACUAUCUAAAAUAUCUGAAGCUGAGUAAAUGGAGACAGAUAAAAUAGUUUAACAUACUGUAAUUCAUCAUCUUUCAACUCAUUUCAACCAAAUAAAAUCAAUUCAUAUAAAUUGAGUAAUCAACAUGGCUUAUAAAUUUCUUAAAACUUUGGCUCGUGCCAAAAUCAUUCUCAUACUCAGUUAUUAGGGAUACCUUGGCCAAUGGUUAUCCCAACCAAGACCGCCAAGGCUAUUAAAAAGUUAUGUACGCAUAAAUCAUGUUUUUUAUUUUGAAAACAUAGCCGUUUCUUGACGUUGGCUGAGUUCACCCUCACGUGAUAGUUUAGCGUGAAGUUAACUCUAAAGUUUUAACCUCAGGAGUUAUCCAACCACGCCUCUCAUAUUGAGGUAUGAAUAUAAUAGGGUUAUUGUGCCCCUCUAAUAGGUUGGUCCACGGAACCCGUCCACUGCAGCGACCAAUUUAUAAUCCACCAAUUCAAUAAAAUUCAACAGCAUGACAUGACAAUUAUUUUAUUUUACAACCUCUCAAGGCAAAUUAACAGUUCAUACAUUUUCAACACCAAUUCAGCCAUUCCUGCAAAUAUUAUCAUAAGCCAUUCAAUUCAAAUCAUGAUUUAUAACACAGCGAUUAGUCUCCAAUUACUUUAUUUUCAAAACCAUCAUUCAAUUUCAAAACAAUUUUAUAAAAUCAUUUCAUUUAAAUCACAUUUUAGUUACAAAACACAAAGAUUUACCAUUUAACUCAUUUUCCAUAAAAUCACAAAAUCGGAUAAAAACCACUUUAGAUAAUUAAGAUGAUAGUAAGGUUACUCACUAUUUCAGGAGUCUAAUUUCGAGUACUCCAAUUCUUGAUCCUUGGGAACUAUCUCUUUACUUUUGCCAGAAAGCUCACCACC